rnacentral:rRNA from 1 species
AUUGAACGCUGGCGGCAUGCCUUACACAUGCAAGUCGAACGGCAGCACGGGAGCAAUCCUGGUGGCGAGUGGCGAACGGGUGAGUAAAGUAUCGGAACGUGCCCAGUCGUGGGGGAUAACGUAGCGAAAGUUACGCUAAUAACGCAUACGAUCUAUGGAUGAAAGCGGGGGAGCGCAAGACCUCGCGCGAGUGGAGCGGCCGAUAUCAGAUUAGGUAGUUGGAGGGGUAAAGGCGCACCAAGCCGACGAUCUGUAGCUGGUCUGAGAGGACGACCAGCCACACUGGGACUGAGACACGGCCCAGACUCCUACGGGAGGCAGCAGUGGGGAAUUUUGGACAAUGGGCGAAAGCCUGAUCCAGCCAUGCCGCGUGCAGGAUGAAGGCCUUCGGGUUGUAAACUGCUUUUGUACGGAACGAAAAGGUUUGGCCUAAUAAGCUGAGCCCAUGACGGUACCGUAAGAAUAAGCACCGGCUAACUACGUGCCAGCCGCCGCAGUAAGAC